CUACCACUGGGGUCCCUGCCUUCCCAGCACCAGCCACCACUGAUUAUUCUUCUGAUUCAAUUUCUUCUGGUAGAAAGAAAUUGCAGUUGAUGCUAAUCUGUACCUACAUA